AUCCACUGGAUCCAUGCGCUCAGUGAUCCCCGAGGAGAACGCGGCCAUGGCGGAGGAAGACCGGCGAAACAGGCGCGGGCUCGUCCGGCGGGAGGCGGAGGAAGACCUCCUCCAGGAGCUCGUCCGGCAGCGACGGUGCCGUCGUCGAUGGCGGCGGCGGCGGCAUGGAGGCUAGGAUUUCUGGUGGGGUGGGGGAUAAACACAAGAAAUUGUUGCGGGGCAGAAUAGGCAAAGUUUUUAAAAUUUGAGACGCAUGAAUCAGAAUAGAAAAAAAAAUCAUUUAGAGGGACCAUCUGUCUACUUCACCAAACAUCCAUCCUUCUAAUUGUGAGUUAGUAAGACGAUUAAGUACAAGUAAAAACUUCAAGGGGGUGGUUAGAAUCUGAAAAUGAGGAAGGCAAUCAACCUGUGUAAAUACGAAUGGUCCUUCUAAUAUGUGACAUCUUGGAUGUGUUACUUUUUUUUUGAUUCUAGAAAUUGAUGGUUCUGUUGUCAUGUUAGAAUAGAGUUAGUUUUGCAUUUGUGCUCCUCAUUUUGUCAAUGGUUUUUUGGCUUUCGUCUAUUAUUUGCUCGAGAAUUUCAAGGUUACCAAUCACCGUUAAUUUUGCAGAAAUGUUAGCGAUUUAUAAGUAUGCUGGCUGUUAACACUAUUCAGCCAAGAGACACUGUGUGCUUCUGCCCAACAGCCGCAAACAUGGUGGAAGAUUGGCGCUGUCACUUUCCUUUUGGUAUUAGUGAUCUAUCUUAAGGUUUGCAACCAGGACAAUGGAUGCGUGGUGGCCGCUGCUCUCUACGGCCAUCCCAACAAACAUACUGCAGAUGUGGAAGGAUAUCUACACAGCUGACUGGUUAGAAAACGUGGCUAGAAGAAUCAAAGGUCAGUGAUUUUAUAUGUGCCUGCUACUUAGAUUUUGCACGAUCUCAUAAAAGCUUCAUGUACUUCAUUGAGAUGUCAAGAUAUCUUGCCAGCUGACUGGUUAGAAAACGUGGCUCCAUUUUGUACUGCGGUCACUUAGCCUGCAAUAACAUGGAAAAGCCUCACUCCUCUUCCAAGGAGUGGCGUCUGUCCUUCUGUUAUGUUGCUAUGGUGCUGGUAAUACCGAAAAAGGGUUUCUCCUUACUUUAUAUUAUAAAGAAACCGUCACUAUGGUGCUGGUAAAAUGUCCUAAAAUAAAUUAGCGGGGUUGUUCUAUUAGACACAUGUCCUUUCUGCAGUUUGAAAUUUACUGGCUUCCUAUCUUUUGAUCUUGAAGUACCUACGAAUCAAGAAUUUUGAUUUGCAUGCCACAUCAACGGGACUAAUACAGCUCACAAUAUUGAUUUCAUGUAAUUCUCACCUGGAAAUUACACAUGCUGGGAGCAUACACGUACACUAUCGUUCUUUGAUGCACUAACUUUAGUGAAUGCAGUCAUCGUGUUACAUUAGGCAUGUCUUUCACACUUAGCUAUUCAAGUUUUGUCCAAAUUUUAUUUCAAAUAGCUGUUCAAAUCUUUUGUGCAUCUGAGUUAAUAUGCCCAUUAUCUUUGAGGUUGUCCUAUAUUAUUAUUCAGUUUUUGUCUCACAUAUGUCAGUUUUUUGUACUAUCAAUUGUGUAGAAUGGCUGAUGACUAUUUGCAAGCCUCUUAUAUAGGGGCAAAUUAGGAAACUAAAUUUUAUUUAUCUAUUUUUUGGGAGGGCUUCUGUGAUUUUUGAGGUGUCGACGUGUCUAACCCCGUCAUACUAUUUGUUUCUGUAAUGUUUGUGCAGUGAGAGACUGCUAUGUAUGCUAACUACAACUCCAAUCUGAGGUAUGCUAACUACAACUCCAAUCCGAGGUAAUGCAGGGAGAGACUUGCUGCUACUACUAUGGUUUGCCGGUAAUUAGGAGUAUUUGUAUUAUUUAAUGCCAGAAUGUAAGUAGGAGUAUUUGUAUUAUUCAGUACUAGUAUCCAGUGUGAAGAAAUUCUACUCAGUGUUUGUCUACUACUAUGGUUUGCUGGUAAUUAAAGAUCUAUCUAGGUACUUUCUGCGUGGGUCAUGCAUGCUCUGUACUUUCUUUGUUAGUAUUACCAAAUCCAUUAUUCAUAACAGCCCCCUCAUAGGCAACUUAUGCCUUUUUUGUAUUACUACACACUCAUUUACACAUGUUUGAUGUUUCCAUCCAGUGAACCGAAAGAGCACACAAGAAAAAGCGCUCGCCCAAUCAAACAACACAAGUCUAUAUUGUAGGUUUCUCUCGUGAUGAUGCCAGCGCCUCUACUGCAUCCGCCAAUAUUUCAAUCGCAUGUGUAGGAGGAGAAGGCUUGACGCGCCGUCGGCACUGACUCUAGCGCCCAUGGAUCCGGCUACCUGCGCAUCUGAGGCAAGCACCAAGGCUUCGUAAUUUAAUUUAGUAUGAUUGAUAACGUAAGGAUGUUUCUCUAUUUGUAGUAUUUAGAAUAGUUGUCAGCUAGCUAUCACUAUCUUUGUUCGCUCUAUUAGUUAUAUUUCUACACUGAUUGGCAACUUAGUCCCCCCUAGCACAAUAUGUGAAAUAGAUCAAGCAAAGUUUCAGACUUGUCAGAAAAGAAAUUAUGGUAGUAAAACUUGAGCAUAUCACUGAUUACAUUUUGUUUUUUGUUUCAUAUUUUGGCAUCCAUGUAAUAUUUCCGCAACAUUCAGACUGGAUUGUAGGGGAGAACAAACUUGUCACAUUCACACUGGUUAUGUUAUGUUGUAUCUAAAUGCGGUCUAGAUUGUAAAAACUUACGUGAAUAUAUCUAAAUGGUUGAGAUGAUGUUAUAGAAUUUAAACGUUUUUACUAACCUUGAGAAUGGACAGGAAAUGUUAUUUGUUAUUUGUUAAAAUAAAUAAAUUAGAUGACUUGAUUGUUUUUCCCUCAAUAAAUUAGAUGACUUGAUUGUUUUACUAACGUUGUGCACCCGCUGCGGCCGCCGCAGCUUCCACCUGCAGAAGAGCACCUGCUCCUCGUGCGGCUACCCCGCCGCCCGCAUCCGCAAGUAUGCACUUCCUUGCAUCAUUCCAGAAAGCACAGAAGGAGAAGCUAUUCUUCCUCAGAAUCUGAUAGUGAAUCAGAGAGCGACUGUGAUCGUAAACACAGGAAGAGGCAGGACCGCAAAAGGCACAGGAAACAUGGCCACUGUGACUUUGAUGGUGCCAGGAGGCGCAAGCAUAGGUCAAAGAGGAGGUAUUCAGACUCUAGUGAUGAGAGUGACAGUGAUAACUACAAUAGUGAAUAUGAAGAAAAUAUACAUUGUAUUGUAAAUGCUACUGAAAUGAAAUAUACAUUUUAUUUGCAAUCAA